rnacentral:rRNA from 1 species
GAUGAACGCUAGCGGCGUGCCUAAUGCAUGCAAGUCGAACGGGAUCCUUUGGAAUUAUUCUAAAGGUGAGAGUGGCGAACGGGUGAGUAACACGUUGGUGACCUGCCCCAGAGAGGGGGAUAACCAUUGGAAACGAUGGCUAAUACCCCAAAUGUCAUUGCUGUUAGAGAGCAAUGACUAAAGCUCCGGCGCUCUGGGAGGGGCCUGCGGCCCAUCAGCUAGUUGGUAGGGUAACGGCCUACCAAGGCGAAGACGGGUAGGGGACGUGAGAGCGUGACCCCCCACACUGGUACUGAAACACGGACCAGAUACCUACGGGUAGCAGCAGCAAGGAAUAUUGCCCAAUGGACGAAAGUCUGAGGCAGCAACGCCGCGUGGAGGAUGAAGGCCUUCGGGUUGUAAACUCCUUUUCUGGGGGAAGAGAAAGGACGGUACCCCAGGAAUAAGUCUCGGCCAACUACGUG